rnacentral:rRNA from 1 species
AUGGAGUUUGUAGUGGGUGCUUCGGAAGCCACCAUGAGAUCUCUCCUAGGCAAGUUGGGCGGUCUCCUUGCCCAAGAGUACACUCUGAUCCGCGGCAUCCGCGGCGACAUCCAGUACAUCAGCGACGAGCUCGCCAGCAUGCACGCCUUUCUUGGCGACCUCGGCUCUGCCCUGGAUGACCACGAUCGCCGGCUCAAGAACUGGAUGAAGCAGAUUCGUGACAUGGUAUACGACAUGGAAGACUGCAUCGAUGACUUUGCUCAUCGCCUCCCUCAGGACUCUCUCAGCGAUGCAAGAUGCUCCUUCAUCGUGACGAUAGUCUACGAGAUGUGGAAGUUCUGGCCUCGCCGUGACAUUGCCUCCAAGAUUGCCGAGCUCAAGGUCCGGGCACAGUACAUUGCUGAGAGGCGCAGCAGAUAUGGAGUGAACAACCCAAACCCAAGAACAAGCUCCGGAGCCGGAGCAACCCAUGCUGUUACGUAUGGCAUUGCUGAGCAUUUGGUGGCGAGCCGCCAGCUCAUCCGCACAGAGAACCCCGUGGGAGUGAAGAUGGACAUGAAGAAGCUCGGAGGUUGGCUAGCCAAACAUGAUAAAGGCUCUCAUCGAGCUGUUGUGUCAUUGAUUGGAUUUGGUGGUGUGGGAAAGACCACCAUUGCCAUGGCACUGUACCGAGAUUUCAGGAAUGAAUUUGACUGUCGGGCAUCAGUCAUAGUGUCUCAGAACUUUGAUGAAGAUGAAGUCCUAAGGGAUGUUCUUGGGCAAAUCAAGCCAGCAGACAGUCAAAUCAACACAAAGGAGGAGGUGCAGGAGGGUAGCAACGCAGGGAAGGUGGAGAAGAAGAGCCUAGUGACAGGUAUUAAAAGCUCAGUUAAGCGAGUUGUGCCACUGCUCUCUGGUCACAGGCCGCAAAGCAAUGAUGGCAGCAUGCAGAAUAAGAUAGAAACAACGAAUCGUGACCAGCUUAUUGAAGAACUCAAAAAGCGCCUGCUUGGAAGGAGGUAUCUCCUCUUGAUUGAUGAUAUAUGGUCUGUACAAACAUGGGAGACCAUUAGAAAUUGGUUGCCACAUGAUAAUAAUAAGGAUAGUAGAGUAAUAGUAACUACAAGAUUUCAAGCUGUUGGUGCGGCUUGCUCAGAAAGAGAUGGAACUGAUUAUCUGCAUACGGUUAAUGCCCUAAGUGAUGUCGACUCCAAAAGUCUAUUUCAUCAGGGUUUUUCUGAAUCCCCAAGCAGCCAAGAAAGUGAAAGAAUGGAUACAAGAUCUCAAGCUGUUGGUGUUGAGUCCUCUGAACGAGAUGGAACAGAUCAUCUGCAUUCAGCCGAUGUCCCAAGUGAUGCCAAUGCCAAAGGUCCGUUCGAUGACCGUGUUUCUGAUCCACAGAGAAGCAAAGAAAGGGAGAUAGGAGAGGUCCAUGAGGAGAUAUGGAAAUAUUGUGGGGGGCUGCCUUUGGCCAUAGUCACCAUGGCUGGCCUUGUGGCUUGCAACCCAACAAAAAACAAUGAUCAUUGGAGUAAAGUUUGCAAGUCAUUAUUUCCGGAGCAGGUGGCUCCCCUUACAUUGGAGGGGGUCACAAGGAUACUUGAUUAUUGCUAUAAUGACUUGCCAGCAGAUCUCAAGACCUGCUCAUUGUAUCUGAGCAUAUUCCCCAAGGGCUCAAAAGUUAGUAAGAAGCGUCUGACCCGGCGAUGGAUAUCAGAAUGUUUCGUCGCUGAGAAGCAAGGGCUGAGUGCAGAGGAAGUGGCAGAAACCUACUUCAAUCAGCUUGUAAGCAGGAAGAUAAUACGCCCUGUGGAUCACAGUAGCAACGGGAAGGUAAAAUCCUUUAAAGUUCAUGACAUGAUCCUGGAAUAUAUCGUGUCCAAGUCAAGCGAAGAGAAUUUUAUUACUGUUGUUGGUGGACAUUGGCUGAUGCCAACUCCUAGCAACAAAUUCCGUCGACUCUCCAUGCAAAGCAGUGGUUCCAAGCAUGGGAAUUCAACAAAAGGCAUGAACUUGUCUCAAGUGCGGUCACUGACAGCGUUUGGAAGCCAGAACAGACGGCUCCCUUUCCAUUCGUUCAACAAUGGAAUAAUACAAGUGCUAGAUCUUGAGGGCUGGAAGGGUUUGACAGAUAAGCAUAUGAAUGACAUAUGUAAAAUGCUUGUGUUUUAG